CGGAGGGUGCAAGCGUUAUCCGGAUUUACUGGGUUUAAAGGGUGUGUAGGCGGGCUAUUAAGUCAGCGGUGAAAUCUCCGGGCUCAACCCGGAAACUGCCAUUGAUACUAUUAGUCUUGAAUGUUAUUGAGGUGGGCGGAACGGGUCAUGUAGCGGUGAAAUGCAUAGAUAUGACCCGGAACACCGAUUGCGAAGGCAGCCCACUAAGCAAUGAUUGACGCUGAGGCACGAAAGCGUGGGGAUCAAACAGGAUUAGAUACCCUGGUAGUCCACGCCCUAAACGAUGAUUACUCGACGUUGGCGAUACACUGAUCAGCGUCCAAGCGAAAGCAUUAAGUAAUCCACCUGGGAAGUACGUUCGCAAGAAUG
rnacentral:rRNA from 1 species